rnacentral:rRNA from 1 species
AUUGAACGCUGGCGGCAGGCCUAACACAUGCAAGUCGAGCGAGUGGCGGCCGGGUGAGUAAUGUCUGGGGAUCUGCCUGAUGGAGGGGGAUAACUACUGGAAACGGUAGCUAAUACCGCAUACCAUCAGAUGUGCCCAGAUGGGAUUAGCUGGUAGGUGGGGUAAUGGCUUACCUAGGCGACGAUCCCGAGCUGGUCUGAGAGGAUGAUCAGGCACACUGGGACUUAGAAACGGCCCAAACUCCCACGGGAGGAAGCAGUGGGGAAUAUGGCACAAUGGGCGCAAGCCUGAUGCAGCCAUGCCGCGUGUAUGAAGAAGGCCUUCGGGUUGUAAAGUACUUUCAGUCUGGAGGCGUUACCGGCAGAAGAAGCACCGGCUAACUCCGUGCCAGCAGCCGCGGUAAUUC